AAAAUCCAAAAUUUUCUCCUAAAAAUAAAACUCCACUUUUCGGGCUCUUCUCCACUCACGCACCCCACCUAUUUUUUCCCCCUCUUCCUCUGAGUCUCCCUUUCUCUCCAAUCUCCACCCUCUCCACAACCCCAAAAAGUAGGGUUUACCUUCCCUCAUCUCCUCCGUACUCACCUCGGCCGCCACCUCCUCCGCCGCACUCACUUCGGUCGCCGCCGACGUCGCCGCACUUAUUUCAGCCGCCGCCUCCGCCACUACACUCACCUCAUCCACCGCACUCAUCUCGGCCACAGUCACUGCCGCAGUCGAGCACUCGCUUUACUCAUCUCUCGCUGAU
rnacentral:lncRNA from 1 species